rnacentral:rRNA from 1 species
AUGCUGUCGGCUGGCAUCAAGUUCGAUCCCACGGAUCAGGAGCUGAUCGAGCACCUUGAGGCCAAAGUGAGUGCUGACAACGCGAGAUCUCACCCUCUCAUCGAUUUGUUCAUACGAACCAUCGACAGCGAGCACGGCAUAUGCUACACCCAUCCUGAGAAAUUUCCAAGUAUCACACUGAGUGGCCUAAGCAAGCAUUUCUUCCAGCGCAAUUCUAGGGCGUUCAAAAGGGGCACGUGGACGCGUCGCAAGAUACAGUCGGAGUGCGGCAUGCACGCGAUGUGGCACAACACCAGAAAUACCUUGCCGGUGAUGGUCAACGGCUGGCAGACGGGCAGCAAAAAGGUUCUGGUGCUGCACACCAACAAGAACUUCGACCAGCAGAGGACCAACUGGGUGAUGCACCAGUACCACCUCGGGGACCUGGAACAAGAGAAGGAGCGGGAGCUGGUCCUCUGCAAGAUUUUCUACCAGACGAACACUAGGGCCAGGAGUCAAGCAAGUUUCAACUGGGCUGUAGACUGCCCAGACUUGGUUUUAUUUUUAACAGGCCCGGCCCAUGACGACAACGGGGCACAAAGAUCCAGCAGCCCUUUAAGUCUGAGUAUAAUGGAAAUCAUCGUCCUCCUCCGGCUCCACUUCGCCCGCAUCAUCGUCCAACUGUUCCGGCUCCGCGUCAUUGUUCUCCUCCUCCGGCUCCGCGUGCUGCUCCGCCUCCAACGACUCCUCGUCCGGCUCUGGCUAGUCCGGACUCCAGAGGCAAGGUGGCUGCGAUCCAGGCUUCGCGCCGCCUCCAGAUUAAAGCGCCGCUCCGGCGGGAGUGUGGCGUAUGUCGUUACCUUCGGCCGGGCCAUGGCUAUCAGGCGACGGCGACUAGAGAAGAGGCAGCGGGAGGGGAAUGAAUGCAGGUACUGUUUGGGUUCGCCGUCCGGCUUAAAUAAAUGUGCACCAUCACGUGUACCCGCGGGUGCACAAAUUGUAACAUACGGGUCUGCUUAA